GAGUCAUUCUUCUUCCAAGCGGGAUCUCAGACAAGAUGACCAUUUCCCCAGAUAUCAUUACUAUCAUUGCCAUGCUAGUUUUACCGUUUCUAUCGAUUAUGUCUCGUUGCCUACCACAUGUUAAAUAUCAGCCUCUCAACAAUGCCAUGAAAACCUUCAACAUGUUCAACCUAGCAACCCACUGAUUGGCUAUGUUACCGCUUGCUUAACCAUGUUGUUAGCGUUGCUAGUUGCAGGUGCAGUUGCUUCCAUGUGAAAACAUAGGUUCCUUGUUAUAUCACCCUAUUAAAUGCUAUUUAAUUUAAUGCACCUAUAUACUUGGUAAAAGGUGGAAGGCUCGGCCUUUCUAGCCUGGUGUUUUGUUCCACCUUUGCCCCUUAGUUUCGGCUACCGGUGUUAUGUUCCAUAAUUGAGCGCUCCUAACACGAUCGGGGUUGUUAUGGGGACCCCUUGAUAAUUCAUUUUAGAUUAAAGUUGGUCUGGCAAGGCCCAACAUUGGUACUACAUUUGCCCAACAUAAUAAUUUGAUAAUACUGAAAUGCACAGGGAGUUAGCGCUACCUGAUGAGUAAUUCUACAUAAUACAGGGAGUACCAGUGCUGAUGGUGCUGGUCCAAAACAGAGCACUGUGCGGGGCCAACCCAGGGCAACUUGGGUGAUUUCUAUCAGGCCCCGUACGCGUAGCUUAUCCGUCGUGUCCUGAGAACGAGAUACGCGGCUCCUAUCGGGAUCGUCGACACGUUGGGUGGCCUUGCUGGAUUAGUUUUACCUUUGACGAGAUAUCUUGUGCAUCGGGAUUCUGGUGAUGCUUUGGGUAAUCUCAUAGUUGAGGUUUUCCACUAAGGAAUCCGAUGAAAUCGCGAGCUUCGUGAUCGAGGAUUUCAAUGCGGCUUGUGGUAAUUUGUGAUGGACUAGUUGGAGCACCCCUGCAGGGUUAAAUCUUUCAGAAAGCCGUGCCCGCGGUUAUGUGGCAAUGUGUAAAAUUUGUUCAACACUGGUUCUAGAUAACUUGAAGUAACUUAAUUAAAACAUGCCAACUGUGUGCGUAACCGUGAUUGUCUCUUUCGUGGGUUCCUUCUCCGAUCGAGGACACGGUGGGGUUAUGUCUGACGUAGGUAGGUGUUCAGGAUCAUUCAUUUGAUCAUCAGUAGUACACGUCCGCUAUGCGUAGAUCUUCCCCCUCUUAUUUCUUGUACUCGUAAGUUUAGCCACCAAAUAUAUGCUUAGCCGCUGCUGCAACCUCACCACUCAACCAUACCUCACCCAUUAAGCUUUGCUAGUCUUGAUACCUUUGGAAAUGAGAUUGCUGAGUCCCCUGUGGCUCACAGAUUACUACAACACCAGUUGCAGGUAUAGGUAAAGGUUACUUGACGCGAGCAUGUUGAUUGUUCAUUUGGAGUUGCUUCUUCUUCUUCUUCAUCAUCGAUCUAGGAUGGGUUCCAGGCCGGCAGCCUGAGAUAGCAAGGAUGGACGUCGUUCUUCUUUUCUCGUUUGUUUUCGUCCGUAGUCGGACCC
rnacentral:lncRNA from 1 species